rnacentral:lncRNA from 1 species
CCAUUCGUGUGACACACUGCAUGAUCAUAAAUUUAAUCGAUAAACAAAUAAAAAUAUUUUAGCAUCUGUAUGAUUGUGUGGGGUGAGAGGGUUAUCUAACCCUACUCAUUGAGUUUGGCGCUCACUCCUGCCUGCCUAUUUUUUUUCCAGGUAAUAGAAGAAAGAAAAAUUCUAUGGAGUUGAGACAUAAGUAUAGAAGACUGUAAACGAUAAAUAAAUGAUGAUGUAAAUGUACAGGUAGAGUUCCGCAAUUGUAUUCUAGUGGGUUGUAGAUGAACUGUACUAGUGAUACAUAAUUGAAAUAAAUUAUUAGGCAUGUAUCCACAGUUAUGAAUAGUAAAUGAGAUUUGCAUAAUAUAGGCUUACUACGGGCUUCGGGGGCCUUAAGCCCACCCAGGUCCUAGUGCCGGUCCGGUCCAUGGAAAUGGGUCGUGACAAUUAGCCCCGGCCAAUAUUGUUGUUAAACUCGACUCAACAUUGACCUGGCUAAAGAAUUGGGUGUCAUUAGUUUAACAGGUGAAUUAAUAGUUCAGCCAGUGGGUAAUAAAAAUAUUUAUAAUAUAUAUUAAUUAAAUAAUAUAAUUUAAAAUAAUUAUAAUAUAAUAAAAU